rnacentral:lncRNA from 1 species
GCAAUUCUACACAAUAUACAACAUCAAAUCAUAAAGUAAGUGAAAGUGAUAAUGAUAUUAAUUUCAUUAGUUCCAUAAAUUUCGAUAAGUCCUUCACACAACAAUACAUCAUAAUUCCCAUGCAUACCCACAGAGCAGAGAACAUAGUUACACAAAAGGACUAAGUUGCCUAAGCAAACAAGUCCAGGAGUUGAACUGGAUAAUUACUAAUAGCUCCUUAUUAUACAAAUUAAUUAUAACAUGGUUUCAAACAGGAAGACAAAAUUACAGCUACUAGAUGCUUUAUUUGGUAAUGGUCAGUCCAUUAAUAUGAUCAUCUCUUCAACAGUUGCAAGGAUUGCAUGUGCAGUUUGAUCCACACUUGCAGGCAUGCCCUCCUUCAGCUCCAAAACUCAUCUUUGAAUCCUCAGAGGACCUGCAGUAUUGGAAGCCAAUUAUGACAAAAAUGAACGGAUAAAAAGAUCUAGAAUACAUUUUGCAUCAAUGAUCUGGAGUACAGCUGUGUAUAUCUUAUUUGUGAACAGUCUGCAAAAAUUACGUAGUUUUGGCAGAUUUGUGUUUUAAAAAAAAAAAAAAUUAGUUUCUCUCCUCCCAAAUUAGAAAUCAAAAAAUAAACAUGCCAAAACUACAUAAUUUUAGCAGACUAUGCACAAAUAAAAUAUACACAGUUAUGUAUGACCAUUAUUGCCAUAUAUCCGAAUCAUAACAAAUAGUAUAACGAACUGGCUAUGACGACAGCUUUAUGUUCUAUGGCGACGGUCUAUGCUGUCUAUAUAUCCGAACCAUAACAAAUAGUAGCUAUAAGCCUUAACUGGUCACAAGAUCUUGCACUCUAAUGGUCAUAAUUUUCUAUAAAUUAACACUUUUCACAACAGUGUUGCGAAAUAACUAAACUACAUCAACGAAGUGUUGGAGUAGAGAAAAAUUAAUAAUUUCGAAUUUACAGUAAAACAACAUCCUCUCUGUAACACAGUAGUGUUGCGAUAGUUAAGUUGUUCCAUAUAUAUAUAUAUAUACACAUACAUCUUCGUUGGUGCAACCUCAUGAAUGAUGGUUGCAGCUGUGGUUUUCUCAACAUUAGGGUACAUUCCGCAUCUGCAAUCAAAGGUAACCAAAUUUAGACAAAAUUUAAGCAAUGGAAUUUGUUACAUUUAAUUCUUAGAAGUAUCUAUAAUUUACAAUUAGAGCUAAUAUUUCUAGCUCAAAUUAAAUCUAAUUUUCCAACAUAUAUAAUGCAAUACACAGUUGUAUCAUCUAUUUAAAAUUUUUACACCUGCGGUAAAAAUAUCAUUUCUAUAGACGUUUAUGAUGCCAUUUUUUCAUAAAAUUAAAGGAAAGGUUUACCCUCCGCAGCCGCUGUCGCACUUGCAGCCAGCACCACAGCCACAGUUUCCUCCACAACAAGACAUUUUUAAUUUCUUGGAAUGAAAACUAAAGAGAAUGAAUCAGAAAAUUGAGUCAAGCUGGUGAGUUCUUUGUUGGAGUCAUCAGUUUUAUUUAUAUUGCAGGGAAGAGACGGAAGGUGACCGUCCACCGUACACGUGUAUGAUACAUAGCGAAGUUGCAUUAAGUUACUGUUUGGUAAAAAUAGUGGACAGAUUGACUAUAAAAUAUCUUUUUCAUCUCUAUCUUUGUUUGAUUACACUCAUUUGUAGUAUCUAAUAUCUUAAAAUUUAAUUUGUGGCCUUAAUUUUAAUUUUUGAAAAAAUAAUUUAAAAUGUUUUUUAAUUAUUUUAUAAUAUUAACUAUUGUAUUACUUAACAUAAAAUAAAUUUACAUCAAUUUGGAAUUUUAAAACUUCAUAAAUUUAGGGAAUUAAUAUUUCUUCAAGGGAAAUUGAUAGUUCCACAAGACUUUCUACGUGAAAAGUAAAUGGAACUCACAUUCAUAUGAGUAAAACCAUGUGAAAAUAUCAAAUUUUCCUUGUUGAAAUAACAAUUCCCUAAAUUUACUAUAAAAAGAUGAUUCAUGUAAGGUAUUGAAAAAUUAUUUGUCGAAUUAUAAUUACGAAAUACUCCCUCCAUAAGUAACUUUUUAGAGGGUUUCACCCUUAUUAAGAAAGUCAUUUAUUACUCUAAUUUUGUCAUUAAAAUUGAUAUGUAUUACCACAAUUAUCCUUACAUUAAUUAAAGAAAUAUGUAUAAAGUUGUAUAGAUAAAUGAGAUAAUAGAAAAAUACUUGACGGCAAUAGAGGAAAAAUUUUAAUUAAUGCUUUCUAGAAAUUUGUUAACGUCAAAUAUAUUGAAAUUUUUUUCUUAUUUAGGAACGGAGGGAGUACAUUAAUAUAUGGAAUUUGAUACAAUUUAAAGAGUGGCCCAACAUUUUAAAAAAAAUAGUUGCAACUUAUUUUAUUUACAUAAUUGACAAUAAAUUCGUAAUGUAUAAUAUUCUUUCCGUUCCAAUAUUAGAAAUAUAAUUUGACUUUUGAGGUCAAACGACGAUAUAUUAAAUUUCAAAUUGAUGUGAAUUUAUUUAAUUUUAAUUAAUAUGGUAAUUAUAACCGUAUAGUAUAUAACAAAAACUAUUAAUUAUAAAAUUUAUUUUAUUCCGUCAUUUGACCAUAAAAAACAAAAAAAUCAAAAGAGUAUCAUUUUCAUAAAAACAAAUGAGAUUUUUUUAUGAACAAUGAUUAAGACUUUCUUUUUCCUUUUCUUUUAUAAUCCAAAACCUUAUCUAGUGCAUUGGGCCACUAAAUAAAAGAGGGAUUCCUUUACAGUAGAAAGUGAGAUUGGACGAUAUAUAAUAGAAGCUCUCUGGAACAAAGUUGCUUUAUACAAUGAAUGGAUCGGAACAAUCAAUUUAUUUUUUGUUUUAUUUAUUGUUAGGAUAUUUCAUAUUAAUCUUUUGAACCCGUUUCAAGUCAUGAUUACUAAUCAACCAAUUUUGGGGUAAACAAUCUCUAAUCCUUAUGUUUAUUUUCACUUAACUCUUGUACAUAGGAAAUGAGAUGGAGAAAUAGAAAGAACAUGUAUCACACGUGCAAAAUAUGAGAAAAUACCACACGAAUAUUCUACCCAAUUUCUUAUUUUACUAUGUUCAACUCUAUGUAUUCCUCUAUCCGUAGAGUACAUUGAAUGUACAGAAAUGGCUAUAACAGAGUUUUCUUGUUUUUUUACUUAUUUGUUUAUGAAUAUGAAUGCUUAAAGGCAUAUGCAUGAGACAUAAUCUAUUAAUUAAUCUGAAUCCAUUUCUUAAUCUAAAUUUAAAAGUGAGAUGAUCAGAUAAAUUUAAAAGUGAGAUGAGUUAAAUUUAAGAGUGAGAUGAGUUAAUUAGUAUGAUUGAGUCAAGGAUAUUAUAAUGUCAAAAUUGUAUAUUUGGGCUCGGCUGACCAAGACUAUUCCAAUUUAUUUACUUUGGGCGACAUAAUUAUAUAGUAUAUCUAGUAAAAAUAAAUAAAAAAUUAGACUAGGCUACAGUCCCAAAAGCCUACCAGUAACUCCGCCCCUAAUGGUAUCGUCUAUUCUAUUUUAUAAUUAAUUAUCAAACCUUACGUGCAUUUAAUUGUUUAAAAUAGACCUAAAAAUAUAGUCUAUUAUUGAAAUAGGAAGAGUUAUUACUAUUUGAUUUUAAAUUUGAUAUCCUGACAAUGUAAAUGUGAACAAUGCUAGAAUUAUAACACGUUAUUAAAAAAAAUUAUUCUAUUAAUGUGCCAUAAUCUUAACAUUAAGUAUAAACUUGCAACAUAUAAAACUUUAACUCUUACUAUUUAUAAAACAUCCAUUUAGUUUGAACAAAUUUGUAAACAUAUUUGGAUGGUGUGGUUUGAUAAUUAUAAAAAUUAAAGGAAAGUGUCAUCACAACUUGACAAAUUGGUAAUCAAAUUAGCAUUUUAAUCUUAAGCAAAAUUGGUGUUUAGAAAGAGAGGGAGAAUAUGAAAGUGAAUGGAUUCUUCAAUAAGGAGUUUCUUGUUCAAAAUGAAUAAUAGUCCUAUCAAACACUUUAUCUACAAAACUUCAUGGAUUCGACAUAUCGAAAUAAAGAAUUAAUAUUUUAACAUUAUUUUUUGAUAUUUUUACAUAUAGAACUCACAUACUAAUUAAUAAAAAUUCGACAUAUCAAAAAAUAAUGUAAAAAUAUUAAUUUUCAUAAAAUAUUUUAUCAGCUCUCAAAUUAUAUAGGCUCUACAUGUCUAAUCCUUAGUUGUGGGUCCAAAAUGGUCUUUAUCCUCCUAUAGUGGACUCCCUUUGAAUAUCAGUUAAACAGUGGACUAGUCUAAGGGUGAAUACAUCUAAAUGGCUGAAUCGGUUAGCCAUUAAACGUUUGUUUUGAAAAAAAAAUUAUCUGAAUGGUUGAAUCGGUCAGAUGAUUGAGCUAAAUGGCUAAGUCAAAUUUUUUUUGGCUGAAUGAGCAGCUGAAUAAGGUAAAAACAAUUAAAAAAUAUUAUCUAUUAUAUUAAGUAAUAUUAAAUAAAUUUAUAACAACUUUGAAUUUUUUCAGAGAGGUAAAAUAAUAAAAUUAUGUCAUUCAUAUAUUUCAGACAUAUUAAUUAUCAAACAAAUUUUUUUAUUCUGAUUCGGAUUCAACUCAUUCAGAUUCAGAUUCAGAUUCAUUCAAUUUUUAGCAAACACCUCCUAAAUAUCAUUGAACCAAGCUUUAAAAUUUCCUAACAAAGUCAUGGAAUUCUUAGGCUUACUUAGUCUAACUAAAUUCUACUUAGUAAUUUCUUAUUUAGUUAGAUUUUUUAACUUUUUUGGUUACGUUUUUCGUCACCGAUUCCAUUUUUUUGAAGAAACGUUAUGUUGUAAUUCGAAAAGUUAUAAAAACGAAAUUGCGUUUUUAGCGUGAAUAGUGUUUUUACCACUACAAGAAAGUAAGGCUAUAGCGACGGUACGAACCUGUCGCCAUAUGCUAUAUCAACGGUAGCCCACCGUAGCGGAUAGCGUUGCGGCCAUAUACCUAUGUCGACGUUAUGAUACCUCUAUGCUCGCCACACAAUUUUUGCCACUAAGCUUUAAUUAGAACCCAAAUGUCGACGAUCUCGUCUGACAGAUUCCCACUGUCGAUAAAAAGUGUUAUAGCGAUGGGGUUCUUCGGGGUUUAGGGUGCCCUAAGCCGACAAUAUUUACUGUCGCGUAGAGCUAAUGACACCUAUUAUUUAUAAAACUAUGGCGACGACCAUAUUACCGUCGACAUAUACCUUUCUAUUUCAAAAUCUAUUUGGCAGAUAGCUAUAAUAUACCUCACACAUCUAGACACCCUCAUAUCAGUCAACUGAGAUUCUCUACAAGACGCAUCACAAUUUUUUGAGACCCACAUACAUUUAUAUUUUCAGUUUUGGAGUAUGGGAAAUUGCUCAAACAAUUAACUGGAAUUAAAAUUUAGCCAACAUAAAGCCUGAAACAUUGUAAAGUUCAAACUAUCUCUCAAAAAAUAUGUUAAAUAUGACAAAAAUACAUCCUUACCAAGAUUGUAAACAUGACUGCCAAUCUGCAACUAUUCAAAACAUUGAUCUUAAAUUUUUUAACCUCACUGGUCCAAAAGGCAUAAACCUAAUUCCCAAUAUUCUGGGACUUGUUAAGGAUCACCCCGUCAUAUUUGACUUGGAACCAUUUCAUUGCAUCCUCUUUUGUAACCCUGUGAUGGAUUUCAACAUCGAUUUGCAUCUAUGGCGUGGUCCCACACGGUAACCCUGACGUUCAAGCACAAAAUAAAAAUUCAUACCGUAAAUGCCAGUGAAAGGAUCAUACCUGAAAAACAAAUAUAACUUGUUAAAAACUAAGAGAGAAGGAUAAAGACUAGUAGAACGCAUACUUAUCAGUACGACUGGCACAACCUGAUUACAAAAGCAUAGAGAUACAAAGCUUGUAUAUUGAGAUAUUAUAUGAUAUAUUGUGACUAAUAAUAUUAUGUGAAAAGAUACUUACUGUUAUUAAGAGAUAGAGCUAUAGGAGGCAUGAUUUAUGGGCAUGAUUUGUGGGCAUGAGUUAUGGGAUAAUAGUGAUGUUAGGCAUGAUUUGUGGGCUUGCACGACAAGUAUAGAAUUCCUGAAUAUACUUGGUCUCUUGUAAUAUUUAUAGGGGUGAAGGAUGAAUGAGAUGAGAGACAUAAAAAGAUUUUGAGGAGAACUUAUCAUGGUAUCAAAGCGAGAGGGAAUAUCCUAGGGAAAAUUAAACACAGUUUUUGUUUUCUUUUUCUCCUUCUUACAAAUCAAGCAUCAUAAAGGAUUAUGCCUAGUGGGGAUGAGAAGAACGGUGAGAACAGUGGUAAUGCCGAGAAGAAGGUUGACUUGACUUAUUUUCUUGGCCCAAGUGACAAUCUCGACAACGUGAUUACACCAAUCAAAUUGUGUGGUCCGAAUUAUGAUGAAUGGGCGAGGGCAAUUCGAACUUCGUUGCAAGCGAAGAGAAAAUACGGUUUUGUGGAAGGGAUAAUCUCAAAACCAACGACACUUGAGAAACUGGAGGACUAGAUUGCGGUACAUUUGAUGCUCAUUUUGUGGUUGCUCAACACUAUUGAGCCCUCAUUACGUUCUACUCUUUCUUAUUAUGAUGAUGCGCAAUCCUUGUGGGUACAUCUCAAGAAGUGUUUUUGUGUUGUGAACGGGACUCGUAUAUGCCAAUUAAAGGCAUCUCUAGGAAAAUGCAAGCAAGGUAAAGAUGAAGAGGUGUCGAUCUACUUUGGCCGUCUAUCUCGUAUAUGGGAUGAACUUGUGACUUAUGUCAAAAUGUCGACUUGAAAAUGUGGAACAUGUGCGUGUGAUAUCAACAAACAAGUGAUUGAUUUGCGUGCCACAGAUUACCUACAUCAUUUUCUUAUUGGCCUCGAUGGGGUCUAUGCAAUGAUUCGCUCCAAUUUGAUUUCUCAAGAUCCUUUACCAACCAUUGAUCAAGCAUAUCAGCGCGGCGUACAAGAUGAGAGGCUAGUGCGAGGAGAGUCCUCAAAUCAUGAAAAUCAUGACAACAUCAUGGCUUUUCGACUUACAACCGAUGCGCGAGGUAAAUCUAAAUUUGUGAAUAACUAUGAAAAAUUAUGUACCCACUGCAACAGAGAAGGCCAUGACGAAAGCUCGUGUUUUCAACUUCAUGGGUUCCCCGAGUGGUGGGGGGGACCGUCCUCGAGGUGGACGUGGACCGGGUCGUGGCGGAACAACGACAGGACGAGCAGCUGGUCGUUCUGGAGGGCGUGGGAGAGGCACCCACAAUGCACCUGUGCGCGCCAACAAAGCAGCACCGGGUAGCAGUAGCAGCGAUGCUAAGGGUGGGCAGUCUCACGCACCACCAACCUCGAGUGAGGCAGCAGGUAUAUCAGGCAUUACUCCAGCACAGUGGCAACAAAUUCUUGAUGUUUUGAACAUUCCUAAACCCACGGAUCGUCUUCACGGUAAGAAUGACAUUGCUUGGAUUAUUGACACUGGAGCCUCAAACCAUGUGACAUGAAAUUUAAAUUGUUUGCUUAAUGUAAAAAAUAUUACCAACUGCCUGGUGGGGUUACCAGAUGGGAAAGGUGCGACUGCUACAAAGGAAGGAAGUGUGAUUUUGGAUGGUGGUUUGUGGCUCAAUAAUGUUCUUUUUGUUCCUCAAUUAACUUGCAAUCUAAUUUCUAUAACACAAUUAAUCGAUGACUCCAAUUGUAUCGUUCAAAUCACUAAUGCAUUGUGUGUAAUACAGGACCGGACGACAAGGACAUUGAUUGGAGUGGGUGAACGGACCGAUGGACUUUACUUUUUCUGGGGUAUUCCGAGGGUGCGUGCUUUGGCGAUGGAAGGGGAUUCAUCUAUGUCUUUGUGGCAUAAACGCUUGGGUCAUCCGUCAGAUAAGGUGUUAAGGUUCAUCCCUAAUGUGAGUCAGUUUAGUAGAAGCAAGAAUAAAAGAGCAUGUGAUGUAUGUCCACGUGCUAAGAAACAUAGAGAUAGUUUUUCUUUAAGUGCGAAUAAUACAAGUGGUUUGUUUGACUUAGUUCAUUGUGAACUAUUGGGACCUUAUCAAACUCAUUCCUCAUGUAGGGCGAAAUAUUUCUUGACAAUUGUCGAUGAUUAUUCGCGUGCUGUUUGGGUUUAUUUAUUAUGCAAUAAAACCGAGAUUGCGACCAUGUUUAUGAACUUUGUUGCUUUGGUUGAUAAACAAUUUGAUAAGAAAAUGAAGAAAGUAAGAAGUGACAACGGCACAUAAUUUAAUUGUCUACGUGAUUAUUUUUUUAAGAAUGGGAUUAUGUUUGAGACGUCCUGUGUGGGCACUCCACAACAAAAUGGGCGAGUUGAAAGAAAAUAUCAACAUAUUAUGAAUGUGGCACGGGCACUUAGAUUUCAGGGUCAUUUACCAAUGCAAUUUUGGGGAGAAUGCGUGUUAGCAGCGUGUUAUUUAAUUAAUCGAACACCGUCUAGUGUGCUUAAUUAUAUGACACCUUAUGAAAAAUUAUUUGGUAAAAUCCCUAAAUUUGAUAACAUGAAAAUUUUUGGUCGCCUAUGUUAUGCCUAUAAUCAAAGACGUGACGGGGGAUAAAUUUGCAAGUAAAAGUCAAAAGUGCAUAUCUGUGGGGUAUCCCUAUGGGAAAAAGGGAUGGAAAUUGUACGAUUUGGAAUCACAAGAAUUCGUUGUCUCAAGAGAUGUAAAAUUUUUUGAACAUGAAUUUCCAUUCGUUGUGCAACAAGACCUAACAUACUCUACUACUCAAAUUAAUUCUGACAUCGAGUAUGCUGAUGAUGAUAUGGAUUGGGUGAAUUAUGAUGCAUCUCUUGGAGGGGGGUUGCAUCUGUGGGCUUACAAGGAGAUGAACACAUGGUUGAUAGUGCUGAUAUUGUGGUGGUGCAAGAAGACGAUAUAGAGCCCGGAGAGCCAAAGGUGGUUGUUGCAAGAGAGGAAGGGCCUGACGCAAGAAUGGGCAGAGGGAUGAGAGACAAAAUUCCAUCGACAAAAUAUAAGGACUUUAUCACUCAUGCAAUUCGGAAAGUAAAGUCCUCGGACAGUUCAUCUGCCCAAUAACAUGCCUCAGGUACUCCUUAUCCAAUUACUAACUUUGUAUCUUGCGAACGAUUUUCUGCUAGACAUCAAAACUUUGUUGCAGUUGUGACAACAGGGAAAGAACCUAAGAAUUUUAAGGAAGCCAUCGCACAUUAUGGGUGGCGUGAUGCAAUGGGCAUCGAGAUACGAGCCUUGGAAGAUAAUAAGACAUCGGUCCUGGAGAAACUACCGCCCGGGAAGAAAGCACCCGGAAGUAAAUGGGUGUACCGAAUAAAAUAUCACUCAGAUAGGAGCAUAGAACGAUUGAAAGAGAGACUUGUUAUAUUCAGCCAUCAUCAAAUAGAGGGAAUAGACUAUGAUGAAACAUUUGCCCCGGUGGCAAAAAUGGUGAUUGUUCGUAAAUUCUUGGCAGUGGCGGCAAUUAAAAAAUAGAAAGUCUAUCAAAUGGAUGUGCACAAUGCUUUUCUCCAUGGUGACUUGGAUGAGGAGGUGUACAUGAAAUUUCCUCCAGGUUUUAAAAACACUAACCCCAAUUUAGUUUGUAGGUUGAAAAAGUCACUAUAUGGGUUGAAACAGGUUCCCCGGUGUUGGUUUGCUAAACUAGCUGCAUCAUUGAAGCAAUAUGGAUUUGCUCAAUCUUACUCUGACUAUUAUUCUCUUUUUACGUUGCACAAGGGAGAGAUACAAAUCAAUGUGUUAGUUUAUGUGGACGAUUUAAUCAUUGCAGGAAAUGAUAUUACGGCCCUGAAAAUAUUUUCAUAUGAAGGAUUUGGGAGACUUCAAAUAUUUUUUGGGGAUAGAAGUAGGCCGAAGUCCUGAGGGAAUUUAUCUUUGUCAGCGAAAAUAUGUAUUGGAAAUUAUUACAGAAACAGGCUUGUUGGGAGCAAAGCCAGUCGAAUUUCCAGUGGAACAACAUCAUAAAUUGGCAUUCGCCAAAUGUGCGUUACUCGAGAAUUUGGAGCCCUAUCAAAGACUUAUAGGGCAGUUGAUUUACUUAUUUGUGACUAGGCCUGAUCUUGCGUAUUCUGUCCAUAUUUUGUCUCAGUUCAUGCAACAUCCUCGUGAAGAACAUUGGGAGGCGGCCUUGAGGGUGGUUAGAUACUUGAAGAAAAAAUUGGGCCAAGGCAUUCUGCUUAGGUCUGAUAGUCGAUUGAACUUAAAAGGAUGGUGUGAUUCGGAUUGGGCUAGUUGUCCACUUACGAGACGUUCUUUGACAGGAUGGUUGGUGUUACUUGGUCUUUCCCCGGUGUCUUGGAAUGCUAAAAAACAACCAACCGUGUCACGCUCUUCUGCAGAAGCUGAGUACCGAUCUAUGGCAACGACUACAUGUGAGUUAAAAUGGCUCAAACAACUACUGGGUGAUUUGGGAGUUAGUCAUCCUAAAGGGAUGCGUUUAUAUUGUGACAGUUAAUCCGCUUUACAUAUUGCUCAGAAUCCAGUGUUUCAUGAGCGCACGAAGCAUAUUGAAGUCGAUUGCCAUUUCGUUCGCGAUGCGGUUACGAAAGGAGUUAUUUAUCCCUCGUAUGUUCCUACAAUGGUGCAAUUAGCAGAUAUUUUUACAAAAGCCUGGGGAAAGGCGCAAUUUGAAUUUCUCCUUCGCAAGUUGGGCAUUCGAGAUCUUCAUGCUCCCACUUGAGGGGGGUAUUGAGAUAUUAUAUGAUAUAUUAUGACUAAUAAUAUUAUGUAAAAAGAUACUUCCUGUUAUUAAGAGAUAAAGCUAUAGGAGGCAUGAUUUAUGGGCAUGAUUUGUGGGCAUGAGUUAUGGGAUAAUAGUGAUGUUAGGCAUGAUUUGUGGGCUUGCACGCCAAGUAUAGAAUUCCUGAAUAUACUAGGUCUCUUGUAAUAUUUAUAGGGGUGAAGGAUGAAUGAGAUGAGACACAAAAAAAGAUUUUGAGGAGAACUUAUCAAGUGAUCAAAUAUGUACAUAAAAUUAACAUGUAAGGAAUAUCCUAAAUAAAUGAAAAGCUUGUAAGUGAUCAAAUAUAUACAUAAAACUAAUUAUUAUUUUAAUUUAUUUGCUUACUCCUAAAACUCCACUUAGAAAGAAAUAGAGGAAGUAUAUAUAUAUCCACUUGUUACGAAUUUCGAGUCUCCAUACGAAAACUUGCUUGAAGAUAGGUCGUAUGCCAACCUGAAUUUUAGACAGCACCAUUAAAUAUAAAAGACAUGCCUCCUUUGCACCAUUUGUAGCAGGAGGAGCUCCUAUUGACACAAACUCACGAAAAAACAGGAACCAUUUCAUAAAGCCCUCGAGUACUUGCAUGUAUAUAUAAACUUGUAUACAGUGGAGGGUAUUGACUACUCUCAUGUUUGGCUUGUAGGCUUCUUCAUUCUUCAAUUUCCAGUUUCUCAUUUCCUUUAAUAAAGUUGUGUAGAACAUGCAAGCAUUUGGGAGGCUUAAAAUUCUCCUCAAUGAUUUGGGACACCCUAAUGUAUUAUUGCACACUUUUUCUGCAAAAAAAGAAGAAGAAUAUAUUACCUUUACUACAUAUAAAAUCAAUUAAUAAAUUUAUUAUCUAUCUAUUUUGUCUUUAAAUUUAUUAUACAUCGUAUUUACAAAACAAAAUGUAUGUAUAAUAUAAACGUAGUUAGUUAUGCAUAAUAUCACGGACGACAUCUCGAUCGGCUGAAUUUUUUUUUGAUUUUACUAUGCAAAUACUAUGCAUAAUAAAAUAUAAUAUACUCUAUUUUUUAUUAAAAAACAAAACUUAUUAUAAUAUAUAUAUUAUAAUAUAUAUAUAUAUANNNNNNNNNNNNNNNNNNNNNNNNNNNNNNNNNNNNNNNNNNNNNNNNNNNNNNNNNNNNNNNNNNNNNNNNNNNNNNNNNNNNNNNNNNNNNNNNNNNNAUAAUAAGCCAAAUUUACAACAAAUACUUCAUAAAAAUCUCCUCUAUUUAUCUCAAUUCACUUGGUUUCACAAAACAUAUUUUUGUACAACAAUUAUUCAUCAUUUAUAAAUUGCAAUAUUAACAACCAGAUCAUUCCCAAGAAACAGGAGGCUUUCCGAUAAGGAUUUCUCCCUAUUAGCGCGCAAUUAGGUGACCAAACCCCUUUCCUCGACAGAACUUUCUAGACAUUGUUAAUAAUGCAAAUAAUAAUAUAAAUAACUUCGUCGUCUCAAUUAUUGAUUUAAUAAUAUAAAAUAUUGUGACAAUAAUUAAAUCAAUAACGUGAGAUACUAUGCAGCAAUUAUUGUGGCAAUAAUUGAAUAAAAUGACUUCUCACGUAAGCAUCAAUAAUCAAUAUUGUGUGCUACUAUGCAACUACGCGUAUUACUGUACUUUUAUCACCGGGUAUUUCAACAGUUAACGAUAAAACUUUCGCCGUUAUUUUUAUAAAAAGAUAUUUCUGUCGUUUUCUAACUCCGACAAUAAUUCCGUUAUGAGGUUCACCAAUGAUUGUGCCGUCGUACGAAUAUUCCCUGUUAAAACUAAUAUUCCCCGACCAAUCGAAUAUUUUAUAACAACUUGCCUACUUUGCAAAAUUUAUAACUAUUACCCACAACUAUAACAUUAUAUCAAAUCCACACCAUAAUAUUUAAAAAUAUAUUUCGAGAAAAAUUAAUUUUUAUUCAUAAAAGUUGGGGUCUUACAACUUUUUUGACUCCCUUUUGAUUUGGAAGCUCGAAAGUCCUUAUGCUCAAUUUCUAUACUUUUAGUUGCAUUAGCCACCUGUGAUACGUCUGUAAAUAUAGUGUGGAUGAUCGUUCGACUAUACUCAUACUCCAAAGCCCAUUUGAAAUUUUCUAUUUGUUGUGCAACUGUCCCUACUAUUGAACCCACAAAAUAGGCCAAUCUAGUAAACCUCGCCAUGAAUCAGUAAUAAUCUCAUCCUCCUUCUGCCGAAUGGACACAAACUCCCUUGAGUAUGCAUCCUUAUCAGCAUUUGGGAAGUACUACUAAUAGAAAAUGUCACAAAAAUCACUCCAUAUGAGUGCAUCCAUCUUCUUGCAUAACAUUCAAUGAUUUUCACUAUCACUGAGCAUCAUUCUCUAGCUUAUAAACUGCUAGUCUCACGUUUUGAUUUUCUAAACACCCAAUCACAUAAAAACUCUUCUCCAAGUGGACGAUCCAGUUCUCCGCGCACCAAUCGAAGUCGAAGUUGAAUGAAAAGAUUUGGGCUUCUUCUUAAUAAACCUCUCCAACAACACAAAUAACGGCUGCACUGGUUGACCCACUUGAUCCUCGGGAGGAUCAUUUUGUUCAUGUUUUGGUAUCUCUACAUAAACCCCACACCAUUUGCACGAUGACUUCCUUGUACCUGCAAAAUACCUUGUGUAGCAUGUGUCACUGUUUGCAUAAUAGCCUCAUUCACCAUUGUUGCUACCACAGUCGGGGUUAUUGUUGCAUUACCCUGAGUCCCAACGUUUCCACCCUGGUCAACAACCUCAACCUAGGGCUGGCCUUGACCCCUCCUACCUUUAUUACCCUACCUUCUAGCAAUUCUCAAAGACCUACGAGCCAUCUAUAAUACAAAAUCAAACAAAGAAGAACAAACCGAGCAAAACAAAUAAUCGAAGCCAAAAAUUACAUAGAACGAAGAUCAAACGCAACACAAACACUAUAAUAAAAUCUUAUAACUACCCAGUGGUCUACUCAUAACUCACAAGUCAAGCCUAAAAAGCAAUCUACAAGAUCAUUACGUAGGCUUUAAUACAAACUCUAUAACACCCCCUUUUUCAAAAUGGAAAGGAAUGUCACGCACAAAAUAUAAUAAAUACAAUCCAACUACCAUAAAUGCUAAUAUAAACAUAAAUAACUCCAUAUUAACAUAAUCUCUACUUCUAGGAAUGAAUGCCAAAAUAGGCCCAAAACAUCCAUCUACAAAGUAUUAGAAACCCAAGUUUGAUAAUAGUUUCAAAACUAAUCCACUUAUUUGGAUCAAAGGUAGUUCUCAUCCCACAUAUUGUGAUCACCCCUAAUUACCUGCUGGAAAAAGAAUAUAGCGUAAGUCAAUUGCCCAGUACGGAUAUAUAUAUAUGCAAAAUAUACUACAAUAUAUAAUGUAAUCAAAAGAGACGAACGAACGAACUAAUGCAAAUUAUGAACGAAUUAUGUAUAUACAAAAAUUGGAUUCGGUGAGGUAAUGUUAUUUGUUGGUGAAGAAGCUCUUCCUGUAGUUCUCCCACUUUGAUUUGUGGGCAUACCCUUCACGAAUUUUACACCUCCCCAGUAGAGUCGCCAAAGAAAUGUGGGCAAGGAAAUCGUACCUUGGUUUAGGGUUUCGUGUUGGCUGAGGAGGAGAGAAAUCAACGAAAAGUACAAAAUUGAUUGAUUGAUUGAAGAGGAGAAAAGAACAGGUGAAUGAUUACUCCAACGACACGUAGCAGAACUCUUAGAAUCCGAGAACCUUGUUAGGGUAGCAAGGAUUCAGAGAGCCUUCUUGAGUCUUCGAGUUUAAAGAGAAUCUCCAAAUCUCCUAGUCUUCCAAAAGGUCCAAGAGUCCAAAGUGAGGUCCCCUUCCCAAUGGAGUGGAAGGGUAUUUAUAGGGUUUUCUGGAGAGUGGUCAUGUGAUAGGCACAUGCCCUCGGGGAAAUUCCAAAUUUACUUUAGUCAUCAGAGUAAUGCCCAGAUCGUCCUGCCCCUCUAGCCACCAAUCCAAUCCCUCAAUCAAUUCCCAAAAUGAGUCACCUCCACGAGUCUACUGCCUCGGGAUACGUGGAAGCUUAUCUCGGGUCUCACAUUUAUUUCCAACUUUUUUGACUUUUUAUUUAAUUAUAAUAUGAAGCUUAAUUUGUGCAUUUAAUUCAAUUAGGUCAAGUGAACCCUAAUUUGCACGUGGGACCACAUUCUGCAAAAGAAGAAGAAGAAUAUAUUACCCUUACUACAUAUAAAAUCAAUUAAUAAAUUUAUUAUCUAUCUAUUUUAUCUUUAAAUUUAUUAUACAUCGUAUUUACAAGACAAAAUGUUCAUAAUGCAAAUAAUAAUAUAAAUAACUUUGUCAUCUCAAUUAUUGAUUUAAUAAUAUAAAAUAUUAUGACAAUAAUUAAAUCAAUUACGUGAGAUACUAUUGAUGAUUGGGUAAUAUACCCAUAAAUCGGAUAUACUUGUGCUUAAAUAGUAGUAUUCUCGAGUCAUUUAGGAAUAUCUUUACUGUGUUUAUGUGAUGUUUUGCAUAAUCGGGAGCUAUAAGACCGUUUGGGGAUUUUAAGCUAAAAAGGGGCUUUCUGGUAAUUUCCAGCACCUCAGCGUCGGGGUGCUCAACAUGGUUCAUUUCUCAGCGCCGGGGCGCUGGGCCUCGUCUGGUGUUGACCAGGGGCGCGCGCGUGAAUCAAGCGGCUGACUUGCAUUAAAGGCAUUAAAGAGGUGGUUAUGUGACAAAUUGAGUUGGAAAUGGAUUGUGGUUGGACAAGUGAAGUAUAUAAGGAUUAUUUCUAUUGAAGUGGGGGACUAUUCUAGACAAUUGGAGGCUAGUCAAGGAGUCAAAAGGAGCGUUGAAGAUUUUCACUUAGAGUUUUUUUCUUCUUCUUCAAUCUUUCAAUUUGUGUAAUUCAAAAAGGAUGAUUUGCAAAAGAUUGUUGGUUUUAAUUUCGGUCAUGAACUAAUUUCUUUAAUUAAGAUUUCAAUUUAACCUUUUAUGACUAUUAAUUAGUUUUUCAAUUUAUUCCAAUUAUUUAUGUUGAAGUGAAUUGUUUAUCUUGCCUUGCAUUUAUUGAUUAAUUAUUUGGUCAGUAAUUACCUUGUUACUCUAGAAGGAUUUGAAAGAGGAAUUCUAGGGUUAGAACUGGGCAUGGUAACAUACGACUUAGUUAUUUGCAUGGUGAAUAAUUAGGUUUGUGAAUUGAAUGGAAAUAUCUAUUCACCGCAUGUAACACAUAAGGAAUUGGAAUUGAAGGAGUUUAAUUCAAUUGUUUUGCAUAGGAAUAUAGCAAGAUUAAUCUGGAUUAAAUAAAAGUCAAUUGAUCACUUGGAAAAGGGCUUUUGGCAUUUGAGAAUUCUUGUUAACAAUUCGUUAGGCAUAAUAAUUGGGAUAAUUGGAUAAUUGAUUUAUAGUUCAUAAUUGGGGAUAUUGAAGUCUUAAUCCGUAUUUAUCUGAAUUCAUUCAAAUCUUAGUUUUGUUUAAUUUCUUUAUUUUAGAAUAAUCUCUUUUAAUUAUUUAAAUUUAUUUUCUUAAUUAUAAAAAUCAUAUUUUAUGGUUAUUUAAAUAAAAUUGGAUUGAUAUCAUACUAGUAGUUAGAAUUUAUUAAUUAGAAUUCUCUUUGGGAUCGACACUCUAUCUUGUCACUUUAUUACUUAUUGACCGUGUAUACUUGCACGUUUGCUUUGAUUGUGAAAUCAACCAACAAGUUUUUGGCGCCAUUGCCGGUGACUUCUUUAUUAAUAUUAAUUCCAUAUUAGUUAUAAUCAAUUCGGUCUUAAUUUAAACGUUACUUAUUUUUUUCUCUUGUAUUUGCAGGAAUUCUUUGCGAGUGUAUGCACACUAGAUCAAGGGCUAAAAAGGAACUUUUUCCGUUUACAGACGACAUCGAAAGGAAGUUCCGAAAAUUGCGAUUGACUAGUGAGGUUAUACAUUUGGAAGAAGAACUGGCAGACCAGGAAAUACCCGUGAACAUGGCAGGGAACGAAUAGAAAUCACUUAGGGAUUACGCCAUGCCGAAUGUCACGGAUAUAAAGUCGAGUAUUAGGAGGCCGACAAUCAAUGCGAACAGUUUCGAGAUAAAACUGGGAAAAAUUCAGAUGCUACAGAAUACAUGUCAGUUUGGGGGUAAUUCGAUAGACGAUCCUAAUGAGCAUAUCUUGAGUUUCUUGGAAGUUUGCGACACCUUCAAAUUCAACAAUGUAACAGAAGAUGCUGUAAGGUUGAGGAUGUUCCCGUUUACCUUGAAAGAUAAAGCGCGGAGUUGGCAACAUUCUUUGCCUCCUGGCUCAAUCACUACUUGGGAUGACUUAGCCCAAAAAUUUCUAGCGAAAUUCUUCCCACUAGCGAAGUCGGCAAAACUACAGAACGAUAUUCACACCUUUGCACAGUUCGAUUCAGAAUCGUUAUAUAAGGCGUGGGAAAGAUUUAAGGAUAUGCUCCGUAAGUGCCCACAUCACGGAAUUCCACAUUGGAUGCAGUUGGGGAUAUUUUGUGAUGGUUUGCACGCGCCCACAAGAGCCAGUAUUGAUGCAGCAGCAGGGGGAGAAAUCAUGUCUAAGAAUUUUGAUGAGGCAUAUCAACUGUUAGAAACGAUGGCCACCAACAACUAUCAGUGGCCCAUGACUAGGUCGAAUCUUCCGAAAACACCGGGAAAGUUUGAGGUGGAUCCUAUGACAGCAUUAGCAGCACAAGUGGCUGCGAUGGCUAAAAAAAUGGAAACAUGGAGUCCACCAUCCACACAGCAGGUAGCAAUUGUAACACCCCAGUCCCACAUCGAAAGAUAGGAGAAAAAUUUGUCUGCAUAUAAGGAAAUAAGUUACUACCAAUAGUACCUUCAAAGUCAUGACCUUUUGGGAGCCUGUGGUGGACUAAGAUGACCCAAAAAGAUAUUAUUGGGCCAGUAGUUUGAGGCCUUAUUUCGAUGGAUUUGAUUCGAUUCGGACUCUGGAUUUGACCCGGGUUGUUUCAUAUGGUAUCAGAGCCGACUCUCGAAAGCUCGGAUCGGGUCAUCCGAUCGGGUUGCCGAAGGUGGGGACACGAAGGCUGGUGGUAUUAUCCCACAAUAGAGAGAUGGAGGUCCGGAUGUGGGGACACGAAGCCAGCCGAUAUUAUCCCACAAUGGCUAGAGAGACAAAGAUCUUUGGGCCGUGUGUGUGAUCGGUUCUGAUGGGGACGUCAAAAAUUUAAGUGGGGGAGUUUGUAACACCCCAGUCCCACAUCGAAAGAUAUGAGAAAAUUUUGUCUGCAUAUAAGGAAAUAAGUUACUACUAAUAGUACCUUCAAAGUCAUGACCUUUUGGGAGCCUGUGGUGGACUAAGAUGACCCAAGAAAAUACUAUUGGGCCAGUAGUUUGAGGCCCUAUUUUGAUGGAUUUGAUUCGAUUCAGACUCAGGAUUUGACCCGGGUUGUUUCAGCAAUGGUUUGUGAAUUAUGUGUUGGAGGUCAUGCUACAAAGCAAUGUGCCAUAAAUGCGGAAUCAGCUGAGUUCAUAGGGAGCUACAGUCGAUCUACCCAUCCGUAUCCGAAUCGAAACGUAUAUAAUCCAGGUUGGAGAAAUCAUCCAGGAUUUUCAUGAAGUAACAAUCAAGCUCAAGCGCCUAGACAGCAAAACACAUCCGGAUUUCAAAAUCAGCCUCAACAACAACCAGAGAGGAAAUCAAGUUUGGAAGAAGCCUUGGAAAAAUUCAUUAGAGCUUCUGACAAAAGGAACGAUGGGAGCUAUCGUUGAUACUCCUAAAUUAACCUCACUUUUACUUCACAAUUUAUAAUAAUUAGCACAGUAGAAAGUAAGGAUCGAUCCCACAGAGAGUAAAGUUGUUUUAGAAUUAUUCUACUAUUUCAAUAGAAAAUAAAGAUGGGGGUUUUUGAAAAUUAUUUUUAAACUAAGAGAACAAGAAUUAAUGAUGAAAUUAACCAAAUAUGUAAAAACUUCAGUUCUGCAGUUCAGUUUCACCAAGUACAAUAAUCAAUUAAUCAAGUUAUUAAUAUUUUUCCUUCAAUGAAAUUAUUAGCCCUAGAUAACAAUAAGCUCUGCUAUCCGAAAUUCUCCGUAGAUUAUCACUGUAUGAAACAAGCUCUCCACCAGAUUCUAACUAGCAUACAACCUAGAACAAGCUCUCUAGAUUUAAUAUGAUAGAANNNNNNNNNNNNNNNNNNNNNNNNNNNNNNNNNNNNNNNNNNNNNNNNNNNNNNNNNNNNNNNNNNNNNNNNNNNNNNNNNNNNNNNNNNNNNNNNNNNNNNNNNNNNNNNNNNNNNNNNNNNNNNNNNNNNNNNNNNNNNNNNNNNNNNNNNNNNNNNNNNNNNNNNNNNNNNNNNNNNNNNNNNNNNNNNNNNNNNNNNNNNNNNNNNNNNNNNNNNNNNNNNNNNNNNNNNNNNNNNNNNNNNNNNNNNNNNNNNNNNNNNNNNNNNNNNNNNNNNNNNNNNNNNNNNNNNNNNNNNNNNNNNNNNNNNNNNNNNNNNNNNNNNNNNNNNNNNNNNNNNNNNNNNNNNNNNNNNNNNNNNNNNNNNNNNNNNNNNNNNNNNNNNNNNNNNNNNNNNNNNNNNNNNNNNNNNNNNNNNNNNNNNNNNNNNNNNNNNNNNNNNNNNNNNNNNNNNNNNNNNNNNNNNNNNNNNNNNNNNNNNNNNNNNNNNNNNNNNNNNNNNNNNNNNNNNNNNNNNNNNNNNNNNNNNNNNNNNNNNNNNNNNNNNNNNNNNNNNNNNNNNNNNNNNNNNNNNNNAAAUUAAUUAGAUCAAUUAGCAUGCAAUCAAUGAAAACAGAUUAUCAGAAGAAAUUUCACACAAGAAGGAAUAAAUAAUAAUACUCAAUUAAUUAAUUACUUGUAACAAGGAUUCACCUCCCUUUAGAACUGAAUAAAAAGAACUAGCCUGACAUGCUCUUGAGUCUGCACUCCAAUAGAUGAUAGUUGAUAAUUGAAUGAAUAAAACCCUAACUCUCAUCCUCUAUUUAUAGUGCUAGACAAAGUCCUAAAUCAUAUAGGAAGUAGAAAUCCAAAUCCUAAAAGGAAUUAUCAAUUAUAACUAGUUUUCAUAAAGAAAUAGAAUCCAAUUUGGAAAUAAAUCUUAGCCUAAAGGAAAUCCUAAAGCUAAUAGAAAUAUCAAUCCAAUUCCUUGUAGAAGUCUGCAAAAAUCUGCAUUUAGAAAUUUUCCAAAAAUCCAAGAUUUCCCAAUUUUUCCGCUCAAAUUCGCUGGGGCGAAUUUCCAUUUCUUACUGCUACGUCCUUUGGUAAAAUAAGUAUAACUUUUGACCUGGGAGGAAUUACGGGGCCUGCUACCUAUCAAAACGAAGAUAUCGACGAUAUCUACAACUUUCAUUCUUUGAGAAUUGACAGAUUCUGGCUAAAUAAAGGUCGAAAUCAGGCUCCAAGUGACUGAUGUGUAAAUUACAACUUCCAAACUUUGAGGUUCAACAUCUAUCUGGUAAAAAAAUCAUAACUUCUUCAUACGAACUCUGAUUGAGAUGAUUCAAGAUGUUCCGGAAAGCUAAGGAAGAGCUCUAUAAUAAAAUUCAAGUCCCAAGCCAAGACCAUGCAUCCAACGAAAUGCUAAAAAACCCUGCAAUUUUUUCCUUUUUCCUCAUUUCAGCUCCAAUUCUUCCUGAAAUCAUUAAACACCUUAAUAAGCUCAUAUACACAUGAAACAUGCAAUAAAACUAAAUAUAAUGGAAUCAAAAUAAAUGAAUAAUAUGAACUCAUCAAAUUCCCCCACACUUAGCCUUUUACACGUCCUCGUGUAAACCAAAAGUUCAAUUUCCAGAAAAAUUCUAUUCAACCAUCAUGUCAAAAGAUUUCAAGGUACAAAUCAUGAUUAUCAACACUAAAUUUGCAAAAAUCUAAUCAACGCCUUAUCAAUCAACUCACAAUUACCAACCUUACCAUUUCACCAAUGAAUUUCAUUAAAUCAAACUAUAACCACAUAAGUAACUUUCCCAAAAUCAUCAUACUUACUUAACUUAGUUACCAUGGAGCAAAAACCAUGCACACUGACUCACAAUCAAGAACAAAUUUUUCUUGCUUUUUAAGUUUUUUCAUAGAACCUUCUUUUUAGCACAGAUGAAUGUAUUUUCAUGCUUCUUUUUUUCAAAUAUUUUUUUUUCUUUUCUUGACAUGUGCAAUGUCUCCUUUUCUUAGGCUUUUCAGAGUUACCCAUUAGCGAACUUUCCACCAACGACUCCCAAAUCAGAUGAUCUUAGGGCGCUAGGUGUAGAGACACCCCUAAGGCUUACUUAUUCAAGUAACAAAGGCCACAAAAGUUGACUAGCCAAGCUGUUUUUAUCCAUCACACUUUUCAGCGUGAAUAUCGAUGCUUCCCGAGGCUUGGAUACCCAGUUAUUUCGCACAAUGGACAUUGAAGAAAAUUUUCAUUUUUCAUUUUUUCCUUUUUUUUUCUUUUUUUUUUCAUUCAUCAUUAUUUCACAUGGUUCUGCAACAACAUAAGCAAGUUAAACAGUUCUAAGUCAUGAAAUCAGUGCACAUAGACAACUCCACAAAUAACUUAGCCAAAUAAACAUGCUUCUCAUAUUCAAGUACUCAUGUAUCACAAAUUCAAUUCAAAUCAAUUACUAUGGAUCAUGGCUUAGUUGUCAUCAUUCAUUAACAAAUUAAGCAUCAACAGAUUCUGAAUUUUAGCAUCAAUUUUCAAUCUUUGACUUUAACCUUCGAACACAUAAGCAAAUAGAACCAUGGAACCCAAGUUUUUAUUUUUUUUUUUAUCAACUUUCCAUCAAAAUUGGAUUAUUAUUCCUACAUAAAAUAAAACCUAAAUCUUCCCCCCCCACUCAAACCUUACAUUGUCCCCAAUGUAAGAAAAUCAUGCAAAGAAGAAAAUACUACUAGCUAACAUGCAAUAAAAAAAACUAAAAAAGUGAAGGAAUAGAAAAUUCAAAUAUGAGAUCUUGGGUUGCCUCCCAAGCAGCUGCCCUUGUUUAACGUCUUCGGCUAGACGUCAUGUCUCUUUUCUCAACCAGCAUCAAUAAAUUCUAUAACCUUCAUCAUCGGUAGAUUCAACCUUCUUUGUGCCUUCCUCGUGGGCUUAGUUCCGUCAUCCAACAAAAUUUGAUACUUUUCUGAAUAUUUUGGUAACGAGUGUAAGGCAGCCAUAGUUUCCUUCAAUUCCUGAUGCCAUUCUAUCUCAUUUUCAAUGUCCAUGUCCAAACUGUUGGUGAUAGCAACCUCCAAGUUAUCCUUAUGAAGAUGUUCAAAAGUUUCCUGCACUAAGGAGUUAAUCACAUCAAUCUCAAAAACAUGAUUCACAUCACUAGGAUAUCUCAUGGCAUCAUAGAUGUUAAACUGAAUCUUCUCGCCAUCAAAUUCCAUAGUCAAGGUCCCAUUAUGCACAUCGAUCAUGGUUCUUGCCGUUUUCAAGAAUGGUCUUCCUAACAAGAUGUGGGAAGGGUUUGGUGAUGUAUCAUCUUCUAUAUCCACAAUGUAAAAAUUUACAGGAAAUAUUAGUUCAUUCACCUGCACUAAGACAUCUUCAAUUACCCCUCGGGGGUAAGUGUUAGUACGAUCAGCCAAUUGAAUAAUCACACCAGUAUUUUUCAAAGGACCUAGAUUUAAGGAAGCAUAAACAGAUAAAGGCAUAACAUUAAUUGAAGCUCCUAAAUCUAGCAUGGCCUUUUCAAAUAUGGUGUUUCCUAUUUUGCACGAGAUUAUAAACAUUCCUGGAUCAUUACAUUUAGGAGGCAUUUUCCUUUGAAGAACAGCAGAUACAUUUUCCUCGACAGUGACUUUUUCAUUAUUUUGCAAUUUUCUUUUAUUAGUGCAUAAUUCUUUCAAAAACUUUGCAUACCGUGGCACUUGUUUAAUUGCAUCAAGGAGAGGGAUGUUCACUUCUACUUUCCUAAAAGUUUCCAGAAUUUCUUUUUCUUGUUCAUCUUUCUUUGUAGUUUUAGAAUUUCUGGGGGGAAAUGGUAGAGGAAUGUUUUUAAGCUGACAAGGAGAGUGAGAUUUUACCUUGGAUUUUUCGGUUUCCUCCUUAGCUGCUUCCUUUUCAAACUCAACGGUGGCUGAUGGUGUAUCCAUUUGUUUUCCACUCCGCAAAGUUAUAGCACUGACAUUCUCCCUUGGAUUCACUACUAUUUGAGAUGGUAAUUUUCCUGAGCCUUUGGAUUCCAAUAUCCGCACAGUUGUAGCCAGCUGUCCUACUUGGUUCCUCAAAUCUUGAACCGAAGUUUUUGUCUCAUGUUGAAACUGUUGUGUCUGAUUCAUGAACUGUUGUGUUUGUCCCAUGAAUUGUUGUGUCUGUCCCAUGAAUGCUUUGAACAUAUCCUCCAAUGAUGUUCCAGUAGGUGCAGGGACUGCUUGCUUCGGUUGAUAUUGAGGUUGGGCUGGUUGGAAGCCCUGCUGCCUAGGUGGAAAUGUAGAUGGUGCCGCUUGCUUGCUCCCAUAAUUCAGAUUUGGAUGAUCCGUCCAUCCUGGGUUAUACGUGUUUGAGUAUGGAUCAUAUUUUCUCUGAGGUUGUGAUUGAUAAUUUCCCAUUGCAUUAGCUUGUUGCACAGCCUCAUCAUCUUGUAAUGUUGGGCAUUCAUCUGUAUUGUGAUUUGGUUGUAGACAUGUUCCACAAACCUUUGUAAUUGGCCGUUGACCUGUAGCUAAUUGUCUAACCAUAGCAGUUAAUUCAGAAAUUUGUUGACCAUAAUCACACGUGUUUACCUCGCUUACCCUUACUGGUGCAUGAUUUGUUCUAGUUCUAUAUUGUUGCGAGUUUGCUGCCAUGUUUGAAAUUAAAUUCCUUGCAGCCUCUAGGGUCUUGUCAACUAGUGCUCCUCCGCUAGCUACAUCGAUCAUGCUUCUAUCCAUCGGUACCAACCCUUCGUAGAAAUACUGGACCAGGUGUUGUUCAUCUAUUUGAUGCGGUGGACAGCUGGAACAAAGCUUUUUGAAUCUUUCCCAAUACUCGUAUAGUGUCUCCCCGCUGAAUUGUCUAAUCCCAUAGAUCUCCUUCCUUAUGUUGGCUACUCUUGAGGCUGGGAAGUAUCUCUCCAAGAAUAACUGCUUCAUGUCAUUCCAUGAUUGUAUUGAACCUGUGGGUAGGUAAUACAACCAAUCAUUUGCCAAAUCUGCUAGGGAGAAUGUGAAUGCUCUUAACUUGAUUUGCUCUUAGGUGAUUCCGUGUGGUUUCAUAGUGGAGCACACCACAUGAAAUUCUUUCAGAUGUUUGUAGGGGUCCUCACCUGUAAGACCACGAAAAGUAGGCAGUAAAUGGAUUAGUCCCGAUUUAAGUUCAAAUGCAGCAUCUAAAUUAGGAUAUUCAAUGCAUAGAGGUUGUUGAUUUAAAUUAGGAGUUGCCAACUCCCUGAGAGUUCUAUUGUUNNNNNNNNNNNNNNNNNNNNNNNNNNNNNNNNNNNNNNNNNNNNNNNNNNNNNNNNNNNNNNNNNNNNNNNNNNNNNNNNNNNNNNNNNNNNNNNNNNNNNNNNNNNNNNNNNNNNNNNNNNNNNNNNNNNNNNNNNNNNNNNNNNNNNNNNNNNNNNNNNNNNNNNNNNNNNNNNNNNNNNNNNNNNNNNNNNNNNNNNNNNNNNNNNNNNNNNNNNNNNNNNNNNNNNNNNNNNNNNNNNNNNNNNNNNNNNNNNNNNNNNNNNNNNNNNNNNNNNNNNNNNNNNNNNNNNNNNNNNNNNNNNNNNNNNNNNNNNNNNNNNNNNNNNNNNNNNNNNNNNNNNNNNNNNNNNNNNNNNNNNNNNNNNNNNNNNNNNNNNNNNNNNNNNNNNNNNNNNNNNNNNNNNNNNNNNNNNNNNNNNNNNNNNNNNNNNNNNNNNNNNNNNNNNNNNNNNNNNNNNNNNNNNNNNNNNNNNNNNNNNNNNNNNNNNNNNNNNNNNNNNNNNNNNNNNNNNNNNNNNNNNNNNNNNNNNNNNNNNNNNNNNNNNNNNNNNNNNNNNNNNNNNNNNNNNNNNNNNNNNNNNNNNNNNNNNNNNNNNNNNNNNNNNNAAAUUAAUUAGAUCAAUUAGCAUGCAAUCAAUGAAAACAGAUUAUCAGAAGAAAUUUCACACAAGAAGGAAUAAAUAAUAAUACUCAAUUAAUUAAUUACUUGUAACAAGGAUUCACCUCCCUUUAGAACUGAAUAAAAAGAACUAGCCUGACAUGCUCUUGAGUCUGCACUCAAAUAGAUGAUAGUUGAUAAUUUAAUGAAUAAAACCCUGACUCUCAUCCUCUAUUUAUAGUGCUAGACAAAGUCCUAAAUCAUAUAGGAAGUAAAAAUCCAAAUCCUAAAAGGAAUUAUCAAUCAUAACUAGUUUCCAUAAAGAAAUAUAAUCCAAUUUGGAAAUAAAUCUUAGUUUAAAGGAAAUCCUAAAGCUAAUAGAAAUAUCAAUCCAAUUCCUUGUAGAAGUCUGUAAAAAUCUGCAUUUAGAAACUUUCCAAAAAUCCAAGAUUUCCCAAUUUUUCCGCUCAAAUUCGCUAGGGCGAAUUUCCUUUUCCUGCUGCGACGUCUUUUGGUAAAAUGAGCAUAACUUUUGAUCUGAGAGGAGUUACGGUUCCUGCUACCUAUCAAAACGAAGAUAUCGACGAUAUCUACAACUUUCAUUCUUUGAGAAUUGACAGAUUCUGGCUGCAUAAAGGUCGAAAUCAGGCUCAAAGUGACUGAUGUGUAAAUUACAACUUCCAAACUUUGAGGUUCAACAUCUGUCUGGUAAAAAGAUCAUAACUUCUUCAUACGAACUCCGAUUGAGAUGAUUCAAGAUGUUCCGGAAAGCUAAGGAAGAGCUCUAUAAUAAAAUCCAAGUCCUAAGCCAAGACCAUGCAUCCAACGAAAUGCUAAAAAACCCUGCAAUUUUUUUCUUUUUCCUCAUUUCAGCUCCAAUUCUUCCUGAAAUCAUUAAACACCUUAAUAAGCUCAUAUACACAUGAAACAUGCAAUAAAACUAAAUAUAAUGGAAUCAAAAUAAAUGAAUAAUAUGCACUCAUCAAACGAGGAACAAGACAAAAAAGAUGAAUCAAGUAGAGCUGAAUAUGCAAAGCCAAGGUGCGUCGAUAAAGAAUUUGGAAAAUAAAGUGGGGCAAAUAGCACAUGCACUAAAUAACCGACCACUUGGAACACUCCCGAGCGAUACAGAGAAAAACCCGGGCAGAGAUGAGCAUUGUAAGGCUGUAACUCUACGAAGUGGAAAGGAUUUGCAAGAGAUAGUCAAGGAUAGGUAAACAAGAGAUAACGCAUCAAGUGAAAUAGAGGAAGUUGUAGAUACCGGAAAACGUACAGAUGAAACCGUUGCGCAGAAAGAAUCAGAACCAACCAUCACAAUGCCGCCCAUACCGUAUCCGCAGAGGUUUCAGAAAUCCAAGUUGGAUAAGCAGUUUUCAAGAUUCUUGGAUAUUUUCAAAAAACUGCAUAUCAACAUCCCCUUUGCCGAAGCCUUGGAACAAAUGCCGAGUUACGCCAAGUUUAUGAAGGAGGUUUUGUUGAGGAAAAGGAAAUUGGGUGAGUUUGAGACAGUGGCAUUAACCGAAAAGUGCAGUGCAAUUAUAUAGAAUAAGUUACCUCCGAAGCUCAAGGAUCCAGGUAGCUUUAAUAUUCCAUGUGAAAUUGGAAAUCAGUUUUCAGGACGAGCUUUGUGUGAUUUGGGGGCCAGUAUAAAUUUAAUGCCAUUAUCCGUCUACAGCCAGUUUGGACUUCAAGCUCCACGACCGACAAAUAUCAGUUUGCAGUUGGCGGAUCGUUCGGUUACAUAUCCACGAGGUAUUGUUGAGGAUGUUUUAGUCAAAGUGGAUAAAUUCAUCUUCCCUGCGGAUUUCUUUAUCUUAGAUUGUGAAGUAGAUAGCGAAAUUCCAAUUAUUCUUGGACGACCAUUCUUAGCAACUGGAAGAACGUUGAUUGAUGUGCAAAAAAGAGAACUAACAAAGCAAGUUGAGGAUCAGCAGGUCACCUUUAAUGUAUUCAAGUCAAUGUCUUAUCCGAAAGAAAAAAAUGAGUGUAUACGGGUGGAUGUAAUGGAUGAAUUAGUUAAAUCACAAGUUCUGCGAAAAUUAUUCGGAGGACCCGCUUGAAUCCAUUUUUCUCAGGUCAGACGACUGCGGUUUUGAAGAGGACAUUGAGUAUGCCAAAUGGUUAGAUACUCAAUCAUUCGACACCCUUGACAGUUCCAAAACGGAAGGUAAAAAGUUCAAACCCUCGAUAGAAGAGCCACCGGUGUUGGAAUUAAAGCCACUACCAUCUCAUCUGCAGUAUGCUUAUUUGGGAAAAAAUGCCACCUUACCAGUGAUUGUUUUGACAGAAUUAACUGACACACAAAAGGAGAAACUGCUACGGGUUUUGUGAGAGUUCAAAACAGCAAUUGGGUGGACUAUAGCGGAUAUUCGAGGUAUUAGCCCAUCCUUCUGCAUGCACAAGAUUUUAAUGGAAGAGGGGGCAAAACCAACUAUUGAGCAACAAAGAAGGCUAAACCUCAUUAUGAAAGAUGUGGUGAAAAAGGAAAUCAUAAAGUGGUUGGAUGCCGACAUUAUUUACCCAAUCUCGGACAGUUCAUGGGUGAGUCAUGUACAGUGCAUACCAAAGAAAAGGGGUAUGACAGUGGUGAAGAAUGCAGCUAACGAGCUCAUCCCUACUAGAACAGUUACAGGAUGGAGAGUAUGUAUGGACUACUGCAAGCUGAAUAAAGCCACACGCAAGGAUCACUUCCCCUUGCCGUUCAUUGAUCAGAUGUUGGAUAGGCUAGCAGGACAUCAGUUCUAUUGUCUCUUGUAUGGAUAUUCUGGAUACAAUCAAAUUGCCAUAGCCCCAAAGGAUCAAGAGAAAACUACAUUCACAUGCCCAUACGGUACAUUUGUAUUCUGGCGUAUGUCUUUUGGUUUAUGUAAUGCACCGGCAACCUUUCAACGGUGCAUGAUGGAGAUCUUCUCCGAUAUGGUCGAAAAAAAAUUGGAGGUAUUUAUGGAUGACUUUUCUGUGUUUGGUGAUAGUUUCGACUUAUAUUUGAAAAAUCUGAUUUUAGUGUUGAAGCGAUGCGUGGAGACUAACCAGGUCCUUAACUGGGAAAAAUGUCACUUUAUGGUGAAAGAAGGGAUUGUUUUGGGGCAUAAAGUUUCUGCAGCAGAGUUAGAGGUGGACAGAGCUAAGAUUGAGACGAUUGAAAAACUACCGCCUCCAUCAUCGGUAAAAGGAAUUCGAAGUUUCUUGGGACAUGCAGGUUUCUACAGACGCUUCAUUAAAGACUUUUCAAAAAUCUCAAAGCCCUUAUGUUCCUAUUGGAGAAAGAUGUGCCUUUCAAGAUGGAUCAGUCAUGUAUCGCGGCAUUUGAGGUAUUAAAGAAGAAGUUGGUCUCUGCUCCAAUUAUUGUGGCACCCGAUUGGUCUUUUCCGUUCGAAUUGAUGUGCGACGCCAGUGACUACGUAGUGGGAGCAGUGUUGGGACAACGUCACGACAAGAUUUUUCACACUAUCUACUACUCUAGCAAGACGUUGACGGAUGCCCAGUUGAACUACACAACCACUGAAAAAGAGUUACUUGCAGUUGUGUUUGCCUUCGAUAAAUUCAGAGCAUAUCUUAUUGGUACCAAGGUAAUCAUUUACACUUAUCAUUCUGCCAUUAAAUACCUGAUUGAAAAGAAGGAUGUCAAACCGCGGUUAAUAUGGUGGGUAUUGUUGUUACAAGAAUUUGAUUUGGAGAUCCGGGAUAGAAAAGGUACCGAAAAUCAGGUGCCGGAUCAUCUGUCCCGGUUUGAAAAUGCGGAGGUGCAGAAAGAAUACAACAUAUUGAUCAAUGAAAAAUUUUUGGAUGAACAACUUUUUCGAGUAACCACAAUAUUACCAUGGUAUGCAGAUUACGUGAAUUACGUGGUUGCUAAGGUGUUACCACCGAAUUUGACCUCACAAUAACGAAAGAAGUUCCUCCACGAUGUGAAGCAAUACUAUUGGGACGAUCCAUUUCUAUUUAAGUCUUGUGCAGAUCAAAUGAUAAGACGUUGUGUGCCUCAUGAAGAAAUGGACAGCAUAUUAGGCCAUUGCCACUCAUCAGAUUACGGAGGUCAUUAUUCCGGCGAUCGAAUAGCAGCAAAAGUAUUACAAUCGGGAUUUUUUUGGCCUUCUCUAUUCAAGGAUUCUUACCUCUAUGUGCUGAAGUGUGAUCGGUGCCAACGCGUAGGCAACAUCUCCAAGCGCAAUGAAAUGCCACUCAAUACAAUUUUGGAGGUUGAACUGUUCGACGUGUGGGGAAUCGACUUUAUGGGACCUUUCCCAUCCUCUUACAAUAAUUAGUACACUCUGUUGGCGGUAGAUUACAUUUCCAAAUGGGUAGAGGCCGCAACUUUACCUACGAAUGAUGCCAACGUUGUCCUCAGAUUCUUAAAGAAAAAUAUCUUCACACGAUUUGGGACGCCGAGGGCGAUAAUAAAUGAUUAGGGCACUCACUUCUGUAAUACACAGUUCACAAAGUUGCUCACAAAAUAUGGGGUUCGUCAUAAAAUUGCAGCCGCGUAUCAUCCACAAACCAAUGGUCAAGCAGAAGUUUCGAAUCGAGAAGUCAAGAGAAUUCUGGAAAAGGUGGUCAAUCCGUCACGAAAAUAUUGGUCCAUGCAUCUUCACGAUGCCCUUUGGUCAUAUCAAACAGCAUAUAAGAAUCAUAUCGGUAUGUCACCUUAUCGGAUGGUAUACAGAAAAGUGUGUCAUCUCCCGGUUGAACUAGAACACAGUGCAUACUGGGCCAUUCGGAAACUUAAUUUCGAUUUACAAGCAGCUGGUGAGAAAAGGUUACUACAAUUAAAUGAGAUGGACGAAUUUCGAUUCAACACUUAUGAGAACACAUAACUAUACAAGGAGAAAGUCAAAGCCUGGCAUGAUAAGAAAAUUCUUGACCGGACAUUUGAACCAGGCCAACAAGUCCUACUUUUCAACUCACGAUUGCUUUUAUUUCCUGGGAAACUGAAAUCGCGUUGGUCGGGACCUUUCAAGGUUGUAUCUGUCGCGCCACAUGGAAACAUUGAAGUCGAAGAACCGAAUUCAAAGCGUACAUUCAAGGUUAACGGUCAACGACUCAAACACUAUUGGAGUGGAUUCAUCGAACGUCAAUCUACAACCAUGUACCUUUCCGACCCAGCGCUCAACUGAGCAGCACCGAAAAGUCGGGCUAACGACUAUAAACCAAGCGCUACCGGGAGGCAACCCAAAGAGUUUUAGUUUAUUUGGUUUACUUCAUUCAAUUUAUUUGUUAUUUGAAUUUACGUCAUUAUUAGUGUUUUUAGUUGAUAGUUCGUACUCAAACAUAACAUUCUUCAUUACUUUCUUGCUUCCAGGAAACCUGUUCAUUACACAUGGGAUAACAGGAAUGAUAUUCAGUUCCCCGGCGCUCAAUUACAGCACAAAUACAGCGCCCUGACGCUAGGACUCUCCUGAAGUUGCUGCCUCCCAGCGCCCCAGCGCCCAAUAUGAACAUAAAGCCAGCUCCCCGGCGCUAAGUGCUUCUUGAAGUUGCUGCCUACCAGCGCCCCGGCGCUGGGGUCAGUUGACAGAUUCUGAUGGUCAGCGCCCCGGUGCUAUGAUUAGUAUAUAACCCAGCUCCCCGACGCUGGGAUCAGUUAUGACGCAUACCGUUUGAGAUGCAAAAACGUCUCAUUACCCAUAACUCCUACUUCUUUUUACAUUCUAAUUCCUUCACAUCACUUUCACACAUUUUUUUCUAAAUGGCUUCAAAGCGACAACAUGGAGAAGGUUCGGGGACAUCAUCAGCCCAAACCAGAUUUGAUAGCCGCCGGUUUGUGAGUGCCACCGCCCAAGAUCGCUACAAUAAGAUGGCAACCCGCUCUGUCAUCCCCGAACGAGGUUUAAGGCCCGAUCAAUCCAAAGAUGGGGAAAUAGCGGUGAUGAUUGCUGAGAGAAACUGGCUCUCCCUAACCGAACAACCUGACCCUGCAGUGAUUGCAGUCGUUAAAGAAUUCUACUCCAACAUUUCAGAACACCAUCACUAUGGAGUGUUUGUGAGGGGAAAGACAGUGGAAUUCGGAGAAGAGGACAUCAAUGGGUUUUAUCAACUGAAUUUGGAAGAUCUUAACGAUGAGUAUGCCGGUCUUCUGAGUCAAGGCCCAGACUAUGAUAAAAUAAUCCGUGAGCUUUGUCAACCGGGCACCACAUGGACAGUGCAUGAACGUGGCAGCAUGACCUUCCCACAUUCUCACCUCAGUUUAUAUGGGAAGGCGUGGUAUGCCUUUAUAUGCGCCAAACUCAUGCCAUGCACACAUGUGAGUCAUGUCACCAAAGAGAGGGCGGUACUGCUUUAUUCCAUUAUUCAAGGCUUGUAAAUAGAUGUCGGUCAUGUCAUUCAGCAGUCCAUUCUCUGAGCGGCACGACGAGGGACCACAAGAGGUUUACCCCAUCCGUCUCUCAUUUGUAUGUUAUGUGCCAAAUUUGGGGUAAAAUAGAAAUCGGAUGAGAUGAUUCAAACGCCUAUGCCAGUUCUGGACCAUAAGUUGAUAAGCAAGUAUAAAGUGUGGACAGGUGGGGAAAACCACCCAAGGGGAUUGGGUUUCAUAAUUCUCCAAGUUGAAGCUACACAAGCCCCACCACCUCCAGCUCCACCUACUUAUGGCCCAUCCUCAGCAGCUCAUCGUGGUGUGGUUCCUGAAGUUGUCCAAUGGGAAAUAGACGGCUGGUUUUACAACAUGGAGUCCCAGAAUGUAUGCUUGUCUGAACGUCAAGACGUGAUCUAUAAGUACUUGGUUGAUCAGUUUGCUGCCUAAAAUGCUAUGAACGCCCAACUGUACCCGGGUGUUAAUCUCAGCCAGUUCCCCACUGCUCUUAUUCUGCCUGUGUUUCUCCCUUCUGAUCUAGAGAUGAGCGAGGACGAUGAUGCUCCACCCGAGGAAUAAGCUCGUUAGGGAAGUCCUCUGUUUUAUUUUGUCUUAUUUUUCGCAUGAGGACAUUGCUCUAGAUUAGUUUGGGGGUAGUUAAUUUUUAUUUACAGUUUUAGUUUGUUAUUAGUUUGUGGAUUUGGAUUGUUAUUGUUAGUUAAAUAUUGCAUUUAGGAUUGCAUGAUAAUUCCAGCGUUUGAUAGCACGUAUGUUUGGGGCCAAUGAUGAAAUUAAAAUUACAUGAACAAGUCUAGUAAGAAUUGUUGAGCUAGUGAGAUGAUUUUCUUGACAUGAUUUAAAUCUUUAUCUAUUUGACACUGAUAUUAUAAGGAUAGAACGUUUUGAAAAAUGAUCGUGUUGGCUAUGAUAGUUUAAAUGGAUAGAUAAUAGAGUUCUAAAGGAUGAAUGCUAGUGAAAUUAAGGAUCAAUUUGAAUAGCUAGUGAAGACUGAAUUGAGACUUAAACUCAAGUUUGGGGGGAAAAUAUUUGGAGUAUAUAAGCUAUGUUAAAUAAUAAUAAUAAUAAUAAUAAUAAUAAUAAUAAUAAUAAUAAUAAUAAACACCGUGGCAUGCUUGUCUAGUUUUGUGGCCUUUGUUACUUGAGUAAGUAAGCCCGAGGGGAUUGUCUCUACACCUAGCGCCCUAAGGUCUUAAUGGCUUGGGAGUCAUUGGUCGAAAGCUCGUUAAGGUAACACUGAAAAGCCUAAGUGAAUAAGACAAUGCAUAGUCAUGAGAAAAUAAAUAAAUAAAUAAAUAAAAAACAAUAAUAAAGCGGGAAAAGUGCAAAAAGCCCCCGUUAUAAAAAAAAGAAGCAUAAAUAUUCUAUUUUGACCCUUGAAUUUUGGUAAUUGUUUGAUUUCAGUUGAAGCAAGUUUAUUUGAUGAGUUCUCAAGUUUACACUGUAUGAUGCCUACUAAGAAAUUUAUUAUCUUUCAUAUUUUUGCCUUUCAUUGGUUAGCAUGGUUGUUGGUCACACACACACGAUAUCAGUAAUAACAGAUUCAGAUUCAUUGAUUGUUGGGGAUAUUAUUGAUCUGCUCUAACAUGAUGUAUUAGCAUAUUUUUGUGAUUUUUCUGAGGCCUAUGAAUAUAUGUGUGCUAUUCGAUUGCUGGAAUUAAAACAUAUAGAUAGUUUGCAUUUGCAUGGUAGUUAAUUUUUCGUGUUGUUUUGUGUUUUGUUGCUUGAGGACAUGCAACGAUUUAAGUUUAGGGGUAUUUGAUGAUUGGGUAAUAUACCCAUAAAUCGGAUAUACUUGGGCUUAAAUAGUUGUAUUCUCGAGUCAUUUAGGAAUAUCUUUACUGUGUUUAUGUGAUGUUUUGCAUAAUCGGAAGCUAUAGGAGCGUUUGGGGAUUUUAAGCUAAAAAGGGGCAUUCUGGUAAUUUCCAGCACCUCAGCGCCGGGGCGCUCAAUAUAGUUCAUUUCCCAGCACCGGGGCGCUGGGCCUCGGCUGGCGUUGACCAGGGGCGAGCGCGUGAAUCAGACGGCUGACUUGCAUUAAAGGCAUUAAAGAGGUGGUUAUGUGACAAAUUGAGUUAGAAAUGGAUUGUGGUUAGACAAGUGAAGUAUAUAAGGAUUAUUUUUAUUGAAGUAGGGGACUAUUCUAGACAAUUGGAAGCUGAUCAAGGAGUCAAGAGGAGCGUUGAAGAUUUUCACUUAGAGUUUUUUUCUUCUUCUUCAAUCUUUCAAUUUGUGUAAUUCAAAAAGGAUGAUUUGCAAAAGAUUGUUGGUUUUAAUUUCGGUCAUGAACUAAUUUUUUUAAUUAAGAUUUCAAUUGAACCUUUUAUGGAUAUUAAUUAGUUAUUCAAUUUAUUCCAAUUAUUUAUGUUGAAGUGAAUUAUUUAUCUUGCCUUGCAUUUAUUAAUUAAUUAUUUGGCCAGUAAUUACCUUGUUACUCUAUAAGGAGUUGAAAGAGGAAUUUUAGGGUUAGAACUGGGCAUGGUAACAUGUGACUUAGUUAUUUGCAUGGUGAAUAAUUAGGUUUAUGAAUUAAAUGGAAAUAUCUAUUCACCGCAUGUAAUACAUAAGGAAUUAGAAUUGAAGGAGUUUAAUUCAAUUGUUUUGCAUAGGAAUAUAGCAAGAUUAAUCUGGAUUAAAUAAAAAUAAAUUGAUCACUUGGAAAAGGGCUUUUGGCAUUUGAGAAUUCUUGUUAACAAUUCGUUAGGCAUAAUAAUUGGGAUAAUUGGAUAAUUGAUUUAUAGUUCAUAAUUGGGGAUAUUGAAGUCUUAAUCCGUAUUUAUCUGAAUUCAUUUAAAUCUUAGUUUUGUUUAAUUGCUUUAUUUUAGAAUAAUCUCUUUUAAUUGUUUAACUUUAUUUUCUUAAUUAUAAAAAUCACAUUUUAUGGUUGUUUAAAUAAAAUUGGAUUGACACCAUACUAGUAGUUGGAAUUUAUUAAUUAGAAUUCUCUGUGGGAUCGACACUCUAUCUUGUCACUUUAUUACUUGUUGACCGUGUAUACUCGCACGUUUGCUUUGAUUGUGAAAUCAACCAACAACUAUGCAUCAAUUAUUAUGGCAAUAAUUGAAUAAAAAUGAGUGACUUCUCAUGUAAGCAUCAAUAAUCAAUACUGUGUGCUACUAUGCAAUCACGCGUAUUACUGUACUUUUAUCACCGGGUAUUUCAAUAGUUAACGGUAAAAGUUUCGCCGUUAUUUUUAUAAAAAGAUAUUUCUGUCGUUUUCUAACUCCGACAAUAAUUCUGUUAUGGGGUCCACCAAUGAUUGUGUCGUCGUACGAAUAUUCCCUGUUAAAACUAAUAUUCCUUGACCAAUCGAAUAUUUUAUAACAACUUGCUUACUUUUAAAAAUUUAUAAUUAUUACCCACAACUAUAACAUUAUAUCAAAUCCACACCAUAAUAUUCAAAAAUAUAUUUCGAGAAAAAUUAAUCUUUAUUCAUAAAAGUUGGGGUCUUACAACUCUUUUGACUCCCUUUUGAUUUGGAAGCUCGAAAGUCCUUAUGCUCAAUUUCCAUACUUUUAGUUACAUUAGCCACCUGUGAUACGUCUGUAAAUAUAGUGUGGAUGAUCGUUCGACUAUACUCAUACUCCAAAUCCCAUUUGAAAUUUUUUACUUGUUGUGCAAUUGUCCCUGGUAUUGAACCCACAAAAUAGGCCAAUCUAGUAAACCUCACCAUGAAUCAGUAAUAGUCUCAUCCUCCUUCUGCCAAAUGGACACAAACUCCCUAGAGUAUGCAUCCUUAUCAGCGUUUGGGAAGUACUACUGAUAGAAAAUGUCACAAAAAUCACUCCAUAUGAGUGCAUCCAUCUUCCUGCGUAACAUUCAAUGAUUUCCACUAUCACUGAGCAUCAUUCUCUAGCUUAUAAACUGCUAGUCUCACGUUUUGAAUUUUUGAACACCCAAUCACAUAUAUAAAAAAUCUUCUCCAAGUGGGCGAUCCAAUUCUCUGCAUCAAUCGAAGUCGAAGUUGAACGAAAAGAUUUGGGCUUCUUCUUAAUAAACCUCUCCAACAACACAUAUAACGGCUGCACUGGUUGACCCACUUGACCCUCGGGAGGAUCAUUUUGUUCAUGUUUUGGUAUCUCUACAUCAACCCCAUACUAUUUGCAUGAUGACUUCCUUGCACCUUCAAAAUACCUUGCGUAGCCUAUGUCACUGUUUGCAUAAUAGCCUUAUUCACCAUUAUUGCUACCACAGUCGGGGUUAUUGUUGCAUUACCCUGACUCUCAGCGUUUCCACCCUGGUUAACAACCUCAACCUAGGGCUGGCCCUGACCCCUCUUACCUUUAUUACCCUACCUUCUAGCAAUUCUCAAAGAACUACGAGCCAUCUAUAAUACAAAAUCAAACAAAGAAGAACAAACCGAGCAAAACAAAUAAUCGAAGCCAAAAAUUACGUAGAAUGAAGAUCAAACACAACACAAACACUAUAAUAAAAUCUUAUAACUACCUAGUGGUCUACUCAUAACUCACAGGUCAAGCCUAAAAGGCAAUCUACACGAUCAUUACGUAAGCUUUAAUACCAACUCUAUAACACCCCCUUUUUCAAAAGGGAAAGGAAUGUCACACACAAAAUAUAAUAAAUACAAUCCUGCAAUAAACCUCAAAAUAUUUUUAAAUAGAUUGUAUACCAACUACCAUAAAUGCUAAUAUAAACAUAAAUAACUCCAUAUUAACAUAAUCUCUACUUCUAGGAAUGAAUGCCAAAAUAGGCCCAAAACAUCCAUCUACAAAGUAUUAGAAACCCAAGUUUGAUAAUAGUUUCAAAACUAAUCCACUUAUUUGGAUCAAAGGUAGUUCUCAUCCCACAUAUUGUGAUCACCCCUAAUUACCUGCUGAAAGAAGAAUAUAGCGUAAGUCAAUUGCCCGGUACGGAUAUAAAUAUGCAAAAUAUACUACAAUAUAUAAUGUAAUCAAAAGAGACGAACGAACGAACGAAUGCAAAUUAUGAACGAAUUAUGUAUAUACAAAAAUUAAUGAGACCAGGUACAGUAAAACCUCUAUUUAGAAAUAGACUUGGGACCAAACUAUUUGUAUUCUGGUGAGAUCGCUCAGCAUAAAUCUGGAAAACAUUCCACUUUAUUAUUGCGUAGAAUUGAUUCUUGAUUAUUCAAUAGAAUAUCGUAGAAACCUUGAAAGCGUUGUACUCUUUCAUUAUCAAAAUAUUGCGUUGUCUAGAAUAUGAGAAGACUUGUUAUUGAUUAACGAUUUGUUCAGCUAUUUCAAAGUUCACCGAACUUUGGUUUCAUUCUAUCAAAAUAGAUAGUCUGUUUUUGUUGAUUCAUAUACCUUUAUUGUAUGUCUUAACUUGCGGGACAAACUUGUUGCUCACCCUUGCUAUAAAUAAAACAUUUCAGUUAGGAUCGAAGAGGCCAGCGGAUCGAAGAAGAAUAAAGGCAAAGGCAAGAUGCUGGAAUAGUUAAUGAACAAUAUUAUUAUUAUGUCGUAUUGUAAACCCUUUUUGUUUAUCUAAGGGGUAUGUUUAUAAUUUUAAGGUUAGCAAACCUGGGACUUAUGUAUUAACAACAUAUGUUAAUGACUUAUGUAUUUCUAUUUAUAUAUGAAUGGAUAGUUAAAUGAUAUUAUAUUGUGGAUCGUGAACACCAAACUUGAGGGUCAGGUUACCCGGAUUUGGGGGUGUCACAGUUAAACUCUCUAUGUCCGAAUAAAUUAUCAAAAUAAUACAUUUAUAAAUGGUAUUAAUAAAUUAUAGGUUUUUCUUAAUUAUUAUAAUUUUGUAUCAAAUAUAAAGGUUUACCAAAUCAAUAGUUUAUGUAUACACAUUAAUCUUUACAUAGCUAAAUUUAUGUAUACACAUUAAUAUGUACAUAGCUAAUCUAUUAAAUAGUAUGUAGUUGCCAAAUAUUUUAUUAUGCUAAUCUAUUACUCCCUUCGUCCCAUAGUUAUAGGCUGAUUUUCCAUUUUGAGAUGUCCCACUAUAUAAGCUACUUACUAUUUAUAAAAUUUAGUUGGUUCAUUGUUUUACUUUUAUGCCCUUAUAAUAAAUAUUCAAACAUUACUCUUUUUUUGAAGAAACAACAUUCAAUGUCAUUAUUUUUAUCACCACAUUUAAUGUUAUUGUUUUUAUCACCACAUUCAAUGUCAUUAUUUUUAUCACCACAUUCAGACCAGACUGAAGCUGAUCAAAUACCUCAACCAAAACCAAUAAUUAAAUAACCACAAACUGUUAAAAUAGAGAGAAUAAAAAUAAUUGAAGGUGCUUAACAUUAUCCAUGUAUUUGUAUUUGUAUCCGACGGAUAUGCAAUACGAAUGUUAAAUUAAUAACUAAAAAAAUAUUCAUUUAAUCAACUAAUAAUUAAAAACGAUAUAUAAUCAACCAAAUAAAAUAAUAAAAUUAGAUUUAAUAUAUAUAUGAGAAAAAUAUAUAUAUACACAAUUGUGUAGUACACAGUCGUCUAUGACGACAAUUAACCCGUCACUAUAGCUAUUAUAGUUCAUGGUGACGGGUGAAUCAUCGCUAUAGUCCAAAAAUAUCUUUUUCAUAGGUGAUUGCGUACUACACAGCUAUGUAUAUACAUAUAGCCCUAUAUAUAUUUUAUAUCAUAUAUCAUUAAAUCACCUUCAAAUCUAAAUUUCUCUAUCACUCAUACACUCUUAACAACACUACGUUGCAUCAAUGAAGCCACCACGGUUGGAUAAUCCGACGAACAUCUAUUUCGGUGUAAUGAAGUUAAUACCGAAAUGGGUUAAACAAUUUGGAGCUGGAUCAAUGGUUAGGUUUAUGAUUUUCUGUUGAUUUCCAUAACGAUGAAGGCGACAAUGAUAAUUCUGGGUUUAUGGUUGAUGAUUGUGGCGUCAAAUUUUUUGAAUCGAAUAGAGGAUCUGGUGUUGUGUUCGGAUCUAGGGUUAUGUUUCAGAGAAAAGAGCAAUUUUCAAUUUUGGGCAUUAACGUGUGCUUCAUAUGGACGGAGACUUUGGGUGGAUUGGGGUUUUGUGGGUUGCGUUUGUUGUUCAAAACACAAGAAUUUGGAGCAAAAGCAGGACUAAUUUUUCCAUUGUUAUUAUUAUUAUUCUGAUUCAAGCCACAUUAGAGCGACGACGUUGGGUGGAUGUUUCAAGGUGGCGUUGAUGGAGCUGAGCGUAAGUUAGGGUAGUGUUAUAUUAAUGAUUUAAUUUUAAAAGAAUAUUUCUGCUAUUAUAGUUAAUUAAACAAUAAUAUUGUAUUAUAUUUUUUUCCUUUUAAUUUCAUAUAAAAUGAUUUAAAUUCAUUACAAUUUGAGUAUUAAAUUUUUAACACAUCAGCAAUUUCUGCCACAUGUUUGAGUCUUUCCAACACAUCAGCAAUUUGAGUCUUUUACAUGCCACGUGUUUAAGUCACGUCAGCAAUUUCAGUACAAUUUGUAUUGGCAGUACAAUUUGUUAUAAUUGAAAAAAAUUAAUAGUUCAAUCUUCUAAUUAAUAAAAUUGAAAGAUGGAUCACCGAAAUGGAAUAUGACCUAUAAUUUAGGAUACUAAUUCAUAUUUAAAUCAUAUAUUAAUAUUAGUUUGGUUAAAAGGCCCCGCAUGCGGAGGUAUUAAAAAUUGAUGCGAGAAUAUCAGUUGCCUACCAAAAAAUCAUUCUUUUCAAAAAUAGUUGUUGUCAAGGGUGGAUUUAGGAAUUUUUUCCAGUAGAGAUAAAUUUUAAUUAAUUUUUUUGUUGAAAUUAAAUAAAGAAAAUUUGAGUUGAUCGUAAUAUUUUUGUAAAAUACUGUGUAUACUUCAAAUUAAGAAGAUUUUUGUACUUAUAUUUAGAAUGAGUUUAUAAAAAAAUUUGUCUCCUCCAAGUUUAACUUUUCUAUUAAUUUGCUCACUUGAGUUUAUUAAUUUAUAUAUUUGUUAUGUUCUUAUACCAAUAAAAAAAAUCUAACAGGAACAACUGCCUAUGCUGCCCCGAUCUGCCCCUGGUUGUUGUCAUAAUCUUCCUAGCCCAAGGCCUCAUAUAUAACUUGUUACUUAAUUCAUGUAGGUGUAUAUCUCAUUAUCAAGUGUCAAACUAAGAUUAGAUUAGUGGUAUCUUGUUUAAAUGGUAAUAUUAACUUGAUCCAAACUUUAAUUCUUUUCCUAUUGACUAAAAUAUACAACUUAAUUUGUCAUGAUUGUAUCACUCGCCAUCUUAUAAUAAUACAAUUAAAAUUUUACAAUUUAGUCUUCCGAAUUUAUCUAAUGGUUAUCGUAAUCAAAGGCCUUACAUAUCUGCAUAAUAGGCCGUUGAAUUUGAGGGCUAUUUUCAGUGGAAAGUGACUUAAAUGAAAUAAUAAUAAUAAUAAUAAUAAUAAUAAUAAUAAUAAAUUUAGAAUGCCAUGGAAGAGGCACGGAACAUGCCGCAUUGCACUGAUGCGCGCUUACGCGCAGCUGAUCAAACACUAAUUGGUUAUCUAUCGAUCGCGCCAAGGAAAUAUUUUACCAAUAUAUGCAUGGAUAGAAAUGCAAUACUACCCCCAGUUUUAAAUUAAUUGUUCAAUUUUGAUUUUUUAAAUUAAAUUGACUAUUUUUAGAAUUAAUAAUUAAGCAUAUAUAAAUAUAUUUCUAAAAUUAUAAAAAUUGGGAUUAGUAAUAAAUUUUAUAUACUUUCUUUUGGUUAUAAUCUCUUCACCUAUAUUUUAGCAAAAAUAGUAAAAAGAUUAGUUUUAAAAAUGAUCAAUUUGACUUUAAAAAGUCAAAACUGAGCAAUUAAUUUGGAAUGAAGGGAGUAUUUAAUAUAUAAGUCGAUUUAUACAUCUAAAAUUCGAGGUUUGAUGUUUGAUUGAAUCUUAAUGCAUCUUAACAGUUUAUCUCUUAAUGUAUUUUAACAGCCCGUAUUAUUGUAUUAAGAGGUCCUCUGAAUAGUUUAGACUCAUAUUUAUAUAUUAAUUAUUCAGAGGACCAUUUAAUACAAAUAUGUGGGCUCUUAAAAGGUAUUAAAACGUGGACUGUUAAGAUGUAUUAAGAUACAAUCAAACAUUAGUCAUUUCUAUUAACUUUUAGACUUAUAUUUGUAUCUUAACUAUUCAUAGGAUCUCUUAAUAUAAAUAUGUGGACUCUUAAAAUACAUUAAGAGGUGAACUGUUAAGAUACAAUUAAACACCACCUUAACCAUUUCUAUUAUUAACUUUUAUAACUCAAAAUUGCCAUUGAUCAAAUCAUAUAAUUAAUUUUACUUUUAAGUAUUGCAAUUCAACACAAUAAACAACAUCAAAUCAUAAAACAAUUGAAAGUGAUUUAGAUAUUAAUUUCAUUAGUUCCAUAAAUUUCAACAAGUCCUUCACACAUCAAUACAUCAUAAUUCCCAUACCCUCAAAGCAGAGAACAUAGUUACACAAAAGGACCAAGUUGCCUAAGCAAACAAGUCCAAGACUUGAAUUGGAUAAUUACUUAUGGCUCCUUAUUAGACAAAUUAUAACAUGGUUUCAAACAGGAAGACAAAAUUACAGCUACUAGAUGAUUUAUUUGGUAAUGGUCAGUCCAUUAAUUUGAUCAUCUCAUCAACAGUUGCAAGGAUUACAUGUGCAGUUUGUGCACUUGCAGGCAUGCCCUCCUUCAGCUCCAAAACUCAUAUCUGAAUCCUCAGAGGACGACCUGCAAUAUUGGAAGCCAAUUACCACAAAAAUGAACGGAUAAAAAGAUAUGGAUCUUGCACAAAUGAUAUUUCCACAAUAGUUUUUGAUAUUUUCACACGAAAAGUGUCGCUAUAGAUCCUAUAGCGACGAUUUUUACAUCUACAGCGACACUUUGCGUGUGAAAAUAUCAGAAAUUGUUGUGAAAAUAUCGCUUGACAUAUAUAUAUAUAUAUAUAUAUACAUACACACACAUACAUCUUCAUUGGUGCAACCUCAUGAAUGAUGGUUGCAGCUGUGGUUUUCUCAACAUCAGGGUACAUUCCGCAUCUGCAAUCAAAGGUAACCAAAUUUAGACAAAAUAUAAGCAAUGGAAUUUGUUACAUUUAAUUCUUAGAAGUAUAUAUAUUUUACAAUUAGAACUAAUAUUUCUACCUCAAAAUCUAAUUUUCCAACAUAUAUAAUGCAAUACACAGUUGUAUCAUCUAUUUAAAAAUUUUACACCUGCCGUAAAAAUAUCAUUUAUUUACUACUAUAUAUAGACGUUUAUGAUGCCAUUUUUUCAUAAAAUUAAAGGAAAGGUUUACCCUCCGCAGCCGUUGCCGCACUUGCAGUUAGGACCACAGCCGCAGUUUCCUCCACAGCAAGACAUUUUUAAUUUCUUGGAAUGAAAACCAAAGAGAAUGAAUCAGAAAAUUGAGUCAAGCUGGUGAGUUCUUUGUUGAAGCCAUCAGUUCUAUUUAUAAUGCAGGGAAGAGACGGAAGGUGACCGUCCACCGUACACGUGUAUGAUACAUAGCAAAGUUGCAUUAAGUUACUGUUUGGUAAAAAUAUAGUGGACAGA